rnacentral:rRNA from 1 species
CAAUAGCGUAUAUUAAAGUUGUUGCAGUUAAAAAGCUCGUAGUUGAAUUUCUGGGGGGCACGUUGGGACCGCUUGAUUGCGCGUCCUUGACGCACCACCCAUCCUUGCAGGGACGGCGUCGGCCCUCACGGGUUCGGCGUCCCGACCUGCAUCAUUUACUGUGAAAAAAUUAGAGUGUUCAAAGCAGGCAUUCGCUUGAAUACAUUAGCAUGGAAUAAUAAGAUAGAACUUUGGUCUAUUUUGUUGGUUGCGGCCCAAGGUGAUGAUUAAUAGGGAUAGUUGGGGGUAUUCAUAUUGAGGUGGAAGAGGUGAAAUUCUUGGAUUUCCUCAAGAUGAACCACUGCGAAAGCAUUUACCAAGGAUGUUUNCAUUAA